rnacentral:rRNA from 1 species
UACGUAGGGGGCAAGCGUUGUCCGGAAUCAUGGGGCGUAAAGAGCGUGUAGGCGGCCCGGUAAGUCCGCUGUGAAAGGCGGGGGCUCAACCCUCGAAUGCCGGUGGAUACUGUCGGGCUAGAGUGCGGAAGAGGCGAGUGGAAUUCCUGGUGUAGCGGUGAAAUGCGCAGAUAUCAGGAGGAACACCGAUUGCGAAGGCAGCUCGCUGGGACGUAACUGACGCUGAGACGCGAAAGCGUGGGGAGCAAACAGG